CCUUUAGAGGCCCUACACACAUGGAAGAUUGCUGCCAAGAAGGACUGAAGAGUUUGCUUUUUAUAUGUCCACCUGGAACCAUGUGAGACUGCCAGUGUCAUGGCAGGCAAAUAAGAGCCUCUGUGUUAUUUAGCUUAUGGUGAGCACAGCAAACAGAACAGAAUAGUUAUGACACGUUAUUCUCAGAGUUCUGCGUGACAACCUAUGACCCAAGCCUGAGGACUCCAUCCUGGAGAGCAACUCUCUGCAGUACAGGGCCUAGACCCAUCCAAGAGACAGAGACAGAAACAGGCACACCUCCAGCAUGGCUCAGGCAGGGACUAAAGGCCCCAGGCUGAGCUGGGACACAUUCCCUGGGCCCUUGGCAGGAGACAGUGCGGGACACUACAAUAACUGAGGCCCUAGGGAAAGGAACACUGGACAACAACAAGCUGAACAUCUCCUGAAAGCUUCUCCUGCAGAGCCCACCUCAACCACUUAUCUCCUGCAUCAUUUCCUAUCCUCAAUGAAGGGAUCGAGUUCCAAAAGAGUUGCAAUUCUUCUUGUUUGACAAGCCUCUGGAACAUCAGGUUUCUCUGCAACCUCUCCUUCCACCUCUGGAUUUUGUCAGGCUACUCAUCAACAUCCUUGACCGUAUACAUAACAGUGCAACUACUGGCAGUGCACAAUGAAAACUAAAGCAAGUUGGUAUUAUUGCACCAAUAGGAAAGGUCUCAGUUAGGGUUCAUAUUUCUGUAUCACUAAUAUUAAUUAUCCAUUUCUCAUAUAUGGUGUAAUGAAGCAUAUGUCCAUUUUUACCUAAUAUUUUGGUUAGCAAAGACAUUUUCCAGGAGAAGUGGUCCAUAGAUAUUUUUGAUUACUUGUUUCACUUUUUUCCUUUUCUUAUUAAUAAAUUUCAUGCAUCAGCACAGGCAUCAGCAGUUCAACCACUGGGCUCAAAAGACUUCUGCAAGUUCUGGGACAGAUGUAGGCACAGCAGCUGCCAAACUCAUGCUUGGGCCGUGCCACUGGGACUCCGCACUGGCCUGAGUAGAAAACAUUGUGCUUGAUGAGGUGGAGCUGUGUACAUCACCACGUCUUCAGAUGGAGUAAUUUCUCGUUGCUCCACUGGCUCAAAUAUACUGGUUGAAGGGACUGCCUUCAAGUCUUCA